UACGUAGGGGGCUAGCGUUGUCCGGAAUUAUUGGGCGUAAAGAGCGCGCAGGCGGUCGAUCAAGUCGAGUGCGAAAGCCCCCGGCUCAACUGGGGAGGGUCAUUCGAUACUGAUCGACUCGAAGGCAGGAGAGGGUAGUGGAAUUCCCGGUGUAGUGGUGAAAUGCGUAGAUAUCGGGAGGAACACCAGUGGCGAAGGCGACUACCUGGCCUGUUCUUGACGCUGAGGCGCGAAAGCUAGGGGAGCAAACGGG
rnacentral:rRNA from 1 species